rnacentral:rRNA from 1 species
UACGAAGGGGGCUAGCGUUGCUCGGAAUCACUGGGCGUAAAGGGUGCGUAGGCGGGUCUUUUAAGUCAGGGGUGAAAUCCUGGAGCUCAACUCCAGAACUGCCUUUGAUACUGAGGAUCUUGAGUCCGGGAGAGGUGAGUGGAACUGCGAGUGUAGAGGUGAAAUUCGUAGAUAUUGGGAAGAACACCAGUGGCGAAGGCGGCUCACUGGCCCGGUACUGACGCUGAGGCGCGAAAGCGUGGGGAGCAAACAGG